rnacentral:tRNA from 1 species
AAGUUUAGAUUAACNAAAUCAUGAGCCUUCAAAGCACAAGACAGGACAUAGGCCCUAACUUCUG